ensembl:snRNA U6 U6 spliceosomal RNA
AUGCUCGCUUUGGCAGCACAUAUACUAAAAUUGGAAUACAGAGAAGAUUAGCAUGGUCCCUGCACAAGGAUGACACGCAAAUACGUGAAGCAUUCCAUAUUUUA